rnacentral:rRNA from 1 species
UAGGGAAUCUUCCGCAAUGGACGAAAGUCUGACGGAGCAACGCCGCGUGAGUGAAGAAGGAUUUCGGUUCGUAAAACUCUGUUGUUAGGGAAGAAAAAAUGUAUAGUAACUAUAUACAAAAGAGACGGUACCUAACCAGAAAGCCACGUCUAACUACGUGCCAGCAGCCGCGGUAAUACGUAGGUGGCAAGCGUUGUCCGGAAUUAUUGGGCGUAAAGCGCGCGCAGGUGGUUUAGAAAGUCUGAUGUGAAAGCCCACGGCUCAACCGUGGAGGGUCAUUGGAAACUAAUAAACUUGAGUGCAGGAGAGAAAAGUGGAAUUCCUAGUGUAGCGGUGAAAUGCGUAGAGAUUAGGAGGAACACCGGUGGCGAAAGCGGCUUUUUGGCCUGCAACUGACACUGAGGCGCGAAAGCGUGGGGAGCAAACAGG